rnacentral:rRNA from 1 species
GACGAACGCUGGCGGCGUGCUUAACACAUGCAAGUCGAACGGGGUUUAAGAGGAAGCUUGCGAAUCUUAAACUUAGUGGCGAACGGGUGAGUAACGCGUGGAUAACCUGCCUUAAUGACUGGGAUAACACCGGGAAACUGGUGCUAAUACCGGAUACGCUUACAGGAACACAUGUUUUUGUAAGGAAAGGAGAAAUUCGCAUUAAGAUGGGUCCGCGUCCCAUUAGCUAGUUGGAGGUGUAAGAGACCCCCAAGGCGACGAUGGGUAGCCGGCCUGAGAGGGUGGACGGCCACACUGGAACUGAGACACGGUCCAGACUCCUACGGGUGGCAG